AGGAAGUAGUAUAGUGGGAGUGCAGAAAAUUUUGAGUUUUCUUGUACAGGUUCAAUUCCUGUCUUUCUAGGA
rnacentral:tRNA from 1 species